rnacentral:misc_RNA from 1 species
AACGCACCUUGCGCCAAGUGGCUUACCACUGGGCACGCCCGUUCGAGUGUCACGUUAACCCAUCGCCCCUCUCGGCCUCUUCUGGUCUGGGAGGGUUGCGGACUGUGGAUGCUGCCGGACGCCACGUUCGGCUCGUCUGAAAUUCAUUAGCUGGAGCGGCCUGUCGCGUCGGCCUUUGGUGUGAUAUCUCUUUGCACCGUGAAUCGACGCGGUCUAGCGGUUCCGCUUCGAACCCCGUGUUCAUCACACGGAACAUCUCAAAGUUUGACCUCGGAUCGGGCGGGACUACCCGCUGAACUUAA